rnacentral:rRNA from 1 species
UACGUAGGGGGCAAGCGUUGUCCGGAUUUAUUGGGCGUAAAGAGCUCGUAGGUGGUUCGGUAAGUCGGAUGUGAAAUCUCCAGGCUCAACCUGGAGGGGUCAUUCGAUACUGCCGUGACUAGAGGUCGGUAGGGGAGUGUGGAAUUCCUGGUGGAGCGGUGAAAUGCGCAGAUAUCAGGAGGAACACCCGUAGUGAAGGCGGCACUCUGGGCCGAUACUGACACUGAGGAGCGAAAGCGUGGGGAGCGAACAGG